AACCUUAUGGACCUGCGGGCGUAUACCUGCGGAAGGAUCAUUACCGAGUUUACAACUCCCAAACCCCUGUGAACAUACCACUUGUUGCCUCGGCGGAUCAGCCCGCUCCCGGUAAAACGGGACGGCCCGCCAGAGGACCCCUAAACUCUGUUUCUAUAUGUAACUUCUGAGUAAAACCAUAAAUAAAUCAAAACUUUUAACAAUGGAUCU
rnacentral:misc_RNA from 1 species